CGGGCUCUCCCUCCCGCGCGCCUCCCGCAAACCUCACCGGCAGCUUCCAGCGCCUCGCCUCCCGCCGAACCCGCCUUGCGCCGGCGGCUCGAGUGCUGCCCGCCUCGCCUCCAGCGGGCUUCGGCCGCCGCGGCCGCCGGGACUCGCCACCUGCAGGCUCGGGCGCCCCCACCGGGACGCGUGCGGCCUCCGGGCGCAGCCGUGACGCGCGUCGGCUUAGGGCUGCGGCUGUAGUCGCCGUGACGCGCGCACGUCUCGCUCGCCCCCGCGCUCCGGCCACCGCCGCCUUUCUCUUCCCCCAGCUUCCAAACCUCGGUUGUCACUGUUUUUUGCCGCCGGUGGUCGCCUAGGGCCAAAUCUGGCCGCCCCUUCACCGGAUCCGGCCGCCACCUUGCCGGAUCUGGUCGGGACGCUCCUCUCUCGGCUGGCAUUGCGGGGAUCUGGCCAUCCUCACCGCCGGCGGCAGCCCACAACCGGCACAGGGCGCCUCCUUCCCUCCUCCUUUCUCUUCCCCUGGCCUCCAAACCUUGGUUGUCUCUGUUUUUUGCCGCCGCCGGCCGCCCCUACCUCCUUUCUCUUCAGUGCUCGACCGUGGUCCUCAUCGAACUCCCAUAUAAGAGACCUCGCUCCUCCUAAUGCUGCGGACACAGUGAUCCGGCGGCCGACAGCACCACGGACCUCUAAACCAUUGUUGUACGAGCGGCCGGCGGUAGCGUCCAGCGAUCCGGUUAAUAACUCUACCUUGUGCAAUUAAUUCCUCUACGGCACAGGUAAUCGCUGGUGUCAAAAUGUAGCUAGGAGGUGGGGUGCUCCGCGAUCCAGCAGACGUAAUGCCAGACUGGUACAUUUUGAACUCCAUGUGCUGAACUCAAUUAUUUUUCUUGUGGUUUUCUUGAUGUUUCUACUGUGAUGGAGUGACUUACACAUUCCACAUGCGAGUUUUGCUGUGAUAAUUAGUAAGAAGCUUGUUCGUUCAGUGCAUCCCGCUAUAUGAAUAUAAUUAGUGACGCCUUCAGUAUUUUAAAAUUUGCGGUAUAUGGUGUAGUAUUGCAUAUGCUUAUGCCUUUUACUGCUGAUAGUGACGGCAGCUGGUGUCUCAUUUGAACGGACAUUGUAAAGUGCUGUUUAGAAGUUCAUUUGGGGGAGAGAAAGAGAGCUUACAUUGCAUUGCAGCUGUCGUGCUGAUAAUGGGUUAAAUCUGAGGCAUUCAAGUGAUCUCGUUUUCCUUUAUUGAAGCAUGUCUAAAUGACACCUUGAGUUUCUAAGUCUUUAAAUGACAUGUUGAGAUGUGCCAUGGUCCAAAUAUUGUUGUGAGGAGUGAUAUUGGUGUGGCAUCUAAGACCACCUAACCCACUCUUUGGACUAAGCAAAACCUUCGAGGUAACCCCUAGGGUUGUUUUGAAGGUGGCUUGCAUUGCUGACCUAGAUCUCUAGGGGCUCUUCACUUCACUUCCUGCUGGAUUCGAACCUAGGACCUGUGUCAAUGUUAGUGGGACUAAUAUGUCAAGUCAAUUCAAUCUCAUGGUUUCCUGCCUUGGUCUCAAGAAUGAAGAAAUAAAAUUCCAAUUGGGGGUAAUGAUCAACAAUGAUUUCUGAGAUAAGCACCUUUGAGGAAUCAGGGCUGCUGUUGGCAUUUAAGUGGAAUCCUCUGUCCUCUCUUGGAAACCUUUUCAACUAUGCUCAAACGGUUUUGUUCUUGGAUGGUCAUGCCAUUUUUCAUGGAUGAUAACCAGGACAGCUCCACUUAUCUGAACAGGUUGAUCUGCUGAUAAGAGAAGGCGCGGAUACAGUUAUAUGAUCGAGCAAAGGCGAAGCUAAACCCACUCAAAUAUUUUACUGCUACCCACACAGUACCUUAUGUAAUUUGUUUCUUUAGUUGAAUAAUGUUUUUGCAGCGUGUUUUUUUUGUCUAACCUUUUUGCUAAAUUAUUUUCCUUUCCUUACACCUGCCUAACUUCAUGCAGUUACCUUCUACCUUGCUGCAAUAUCAGUGCUUCCCCUGCAUGAAAAUACUUUCAGUUACCUUCUUUUAUCUCAAAAUUUCUCGCAAUGUUUUUUUGAGUUAUGUUUAGGUCCUGUACUCCUGUUGGACUUGGGUGAGUUUGGACUCUGAAGGCAUUGUGCUUUGUUCAGAGUCCUGUACUCCUGAAGGCAUUGGUCCUGUACUCGCAAUGAUAAGUUCAGAGUUUUGUUCAUUGUUCCCCCUUCUGUGUUGGUCCAAAGUUCUAACUGGGAUCCUUUUGCAGGUUUGUUCAUCUCUCUUCUUGUCUCUAGAUGAAAUAGAUGAGCCUACAAUCAAUGCUAUCAUGAACUGCAUGAGUAUUGGCCCUAGUUUGCUAUCCAUACCUUUUGUUUUUUUAGAUUAUAAUCACUCAGCUUGACUUUAUUACCAUACUGAAUCCCUUUCUAUUUGUGAUAUGCUGCUAUUUUCCUUGGAAGAUUCUUUAAUCAAGAAUUUCUGCUAAUAUUUAGGUAUGCGCUACCAGUAUCUCUUAUUGUGAUUAAUGAUGCUCAUUGUAUUUCUGGAUGGUGAGUUGAUACCUACUUGUAGCCACUUUGUUUAACUGGAUAGCAAUUUGAGUUACACAGUCUUGAUUUUAAUUCAUUGGAACUUGGGUAAUCUUUGAUGGAUUAGGUGCAUGCUGAACAAUCUAUAAAAGUGAGCAUUUCCCUCUCUAGGUAUCUCCAUGCUAUCAUACCAUCUGAAGAAAGUUUAGCUAAGGUUCUUAACAGGACACUUUGUUGGAUAAAACCAAUGUUCUUACGGCGUUAAGGCGAGUUGUGGCGAGUCACCACCGCCUAGCCGCCUAGGCGGGCUAAGGCGACGCCUAGGCGGGCUAAAACGCCUACGAGGGCCAAAACAGGGGAGCGCCUUGUUGCCUAGGCGACGCCAUAAGAACAUUGGAUAAAACCAAUGCUUUCAGUAGUACUUUGGUUUGGUUCAGGAGGGGAAGUAUAAAGAGCUUAACCAUAAUGUCUAGGUAGCUUUAGAUUUAAUACUAAUAUGCUCAACUCCUAGUGAUGUCACAUGAAAGUUCUUCAUUGAUCAGAGAACUUGAGGAGGCUUCUUUACUAAGUAACCAUUGAAAUGCUUGAAUGGUAAAACAGUUUUACAGACUUGUUAAAUAGAAGUAUAAUUCCACAUUCCCUGUGGUAUGUCACAUUAUUGGCCCUUCAACUCUCUUGUGUGUAUGCACAUCUAUUGCAGUAAUUGAAUGAAUAGAUUGUGAAAUCAAUGACAUCUUUCCUCUCUCUUAAAGUUAGCUGCAAUAACUUUCCAAAUUCUUCUAAACCAAUGUGUGAUAGCUCAUGACAGUUUCUCAUGCUCACUGUACUUUCCAGGAACGUUACUGAUCAUAACAAAAUGAAGCCACCAGUUCCAACUUCUAAAUCGACAGCUAGCAUGGUAGAUGACCUAUUUGUUGUUCUAGACACAUCCUCUGCUUCAGGUUCUGCAUAUACAUCCCUAGGAAGAUCUGCAAAUCCCUUGGAAGAUCUAGAGAAGCCUGCAAACUCUGAAGGCAAGGCUGCUGCUGAUAGUUUAUUUGAGGAACCAAUUACAUUUGACCAGGCUCCAAAAUCAGAUCGUUUGUUUGCCUCUGAAGUCAAUGGUCAUGCCAAGGCCACCAGUUACAGAUUUCAGGCUCUUGAUGAGCAGUACUAUAAAUCAUGGUUUCAUAUGUGUCCUGCAUUGGGUAAACCUGUUCCAUUUUGCAACCUGUAGCCAAGUGCCAAGUGAAUAAGCUUGCGAUUGACAAUAGUCUAUUUUGAUAAUGUGGUAGUUUCCAUCAUUGGGCUAUAUGAGCCCCCAAAUUAUGUUUGUACCGGUUCUUUUAUUACAGCCAUGAUGUUAGUGGUCAGCUCUCUAAAACUUAUUUUCAUUCCCCUAACAAUUGUAUGUGGUUAUUUAUAUAUAAUCCCCAUGCUUUAAUAUAUGAUUCAAAGUGGAGGUUUUGCUCUGA